UACGUAGGGUGCGAGCGUUAAUCGGAAUUACUGGGCGUAAAGUGUGCGCAGGCGGCCGCGCAAGUCGAGUGUGAAAGCCCCGGGCUUAACUUGGGAAUUGCGCUCGAAACUACGUGGCUGGAGUGUGGCAGAGGAAGGUGGAAUUCCAGGUGUAGCGGUGAAAUGCGCAGAUAUUGGGAAGAACACCAGUGGCGAAGGCGGUUCUCUGGGACGGUACUGACGCUGAGACGCGAAAGCGUGGGGAGCGAACGAGGAAUUGAUGAUACCCGAACGU
rnacentral:rRNA from 1 species